AGACUUCGCGCGGACGGUCCUCCCCCGUCCCCGCGAUCUGGCAGCAAGCGAACCUCCUCCCUCGCCGGCUGCCCCUCAUGAGAACGCCCGCCGAUCUCCUCCCCGGCGGGCGUUUUCG
rnacentral:sRNA from 1 species